AUGGUGGACUUGAGCGCCCUCGUGAAUGAGUCCACGGAGAAGAGCCAGCGGGGAGAGCGCGUCCGGCAGUGGCAGAUGGCAUUCCUGCUCACCGGCAAGGCCAAGGGCGGGGAGCUCGUCGUCACGCUCGCUUUCCAGAUCAUGGAGGACGGCGGCGUCGGGCUCUACAGCCAGCCGGCCACCAAGACUGCUGUCCUGGUGCGGUGUCCGGUGACAAGAAUCUGA
rnacentral:rRNA from 1 species